UACGUAGGGGGCGAGCGUUGUCCGGAUUUAUUGGGCGUAAAGAGCUCGUAGGCGGCUUGGCAAGUCGGGUGUGAAACCUCCAGCUCAACCUGGAGACGCCACUCGAUACUGCCAUGGCUAGAGUCCGGUAGGGGACCACGGAAUUCCUGGUGUAGCGGUGAAAUGCGCAGGAUAUCAGGAGGAACACCGGUGGCGAAGGCGGUGGUCUGGGCCGGCACUGACGCUGAGGAGCGAAAGCGUGGGUAGCAAACAGG
rnacentral:rRNA from 1 species